rnacentral:rRNA from 1 species
CGGACGGGUGAGUAACGCGUGGAAAACCUGCCGUAUACUGGGGGAUAACACUUAGAAAUAGGUGCUAAUACCGCAUAAGCGCACAGCUUCGCAUGAAGCGGUGUGAAAAACUCUGGUGGUAUACGAUGGUUCCGCGUCUGAUUAGCUAGUUGGUGGGGUAAUGGCCUACCAAGGCAACGAUCAGUAGCCGGCCUGAGAGGGUGAACGGCCACAUUGGGACUGAGACACGGCCCACACUCCUACGGAAGGCAGCAG